rfam:Nitrococcus mobilis Nb-231 scf_1099646003885 genomic scaffold, whole genome shotgun sequence.
GUGGGCGUAGCUCAGUUGGUAGAGCUCCGGAUUGUGGCUCCGGCGGUCGUGGGUUCAAAUCCCAUCGCUCACC